rnacentral:rRNA from 1 species
GAUGAACGCUGGCGGCGUGCCUAAUACAUGCAAGUCGAGCGAAUGGAUUAAGAGCUUGCUCUUAUGAAGUUAGCGGCGGACGGGUGAGUAACACGUGGGUAACCUGCCCAUAAGACUGGGAUAACUCCGGGAAACCGGGGCUAAUACCGGAUAACAUCUUGAACCGCAUGGUUCGAAAUUGAAAGGCGGCUUCGGCUGUCACUUAUGGAUGGACCCGCGUCGCAUUAGCAAGUCGGUGAGGUACAGGCUCACCAAGGCAACGAUGCGUAGCCGACCUGAGAGGGUGAUCGGCCACACUGGGACUGCGACACGGCCCAGACUCCUACGGGAGGCAGCAGUAGGGAAUCUUCCGCAAUGGACGAAAGUCUGACGGAGCAACGCCGCGUGAGUGAUGAAGGCUUUCGGGUCGUAAAACUCUGUUGUUAGGGAAGAACAAGUGCUAGUUGAAUAAGCUGGCACCUUGACGGUACCUAACCAGAAAGCCACGGCUAACUACGUGCCAGCCGCCGCGGUAA